rnacentral:rRNA from 1 species
AAUCCAUAGGUUAAUGAGGCGAACCGGGGGAACUGAAACAUCUAAGUACCCCGAGGAAAAGAAAUCAACCGAGAUUCCCCCAGUAGCGGCGAGCGAACGGGGAGGAGCCCAGAGCCUGAAUCAGCAUGUGUGUUAGUGGAAGCGUCUGGAAAGGCGCGCGAUACAGGGUGACAGCCCCGUACACAAAAGCGCAUGUGCUGUGAGCUCGAUGAGUAGGGCGGGACACGUGGUAUCCUGUCUGAAUAUGGGGGGACCAUCCUCCAAGGCUAAAUACUCCUGA